GACGAACGCUGGCGGCGUGCUUAACACAUGCAAGUCGAACGGAAAGGCCCUGCGUUUGUGGGGUGCUCGAUUGGCGAACGGGUGAGUAACACGUGAGUAACCUGCCCUUGACUUUGUGAUAACUUCAGGAAACUGGGGCUAAUACCGGAGAGGAUCUCCUGCUGCAUGGUGGUGGUUGGAAAGUGUCGGCGGUUGGGGCUGGACUCGCGGCUUAUCAGCUUGUUGGUGGGGUAGGGGCUGACCAAGGCUUUGACGGGUAGCCGGCCUGAGAGGGGGACCGGCCACAUUGGGACUGAGAUACGGAGCAGACUCCUACGGGAGGCAGCAGUGGGGAAUCUUGCACAAUGGGGGGAAGCCUGAUGCAGCAACGCCGCGUGCGGGAUGACGGCUUUCGGGUUGUAAACCGAUUUCGCAUGUGACGAAGCGUGAGUGACGGUAAUGGGUAAAGAAGCACCGGCUAACUACGUG
rnacentral:rRNA from 1 species